CCUACUACUUCUACUCAAGCCUACUCUUGUUUCUAAUCCUCUUUUCGGAUUUUUCUUCGCGACGAAGCGCUCAUCUGCUCCCGUUCCUCGAACAACGCAGUUGACUCGUUUCUUCUGACCCGCUUCAGGAUGUUGCGUGGCAAGAUGUCGAAGAACGUUUCCCUUCUGAUGAGACCGAUAAUCACAAAAGGCGCAACGAAAUUUCUUGUCUGUGCCGCACGUGCUUCGAUGAUUGCAGCAAGAUUUCGACGAUUUAAAAUAUUUGAAGCAUUUUGGACACUGGUAUGGCGUCACUUGGACCACUGCGAGUUUCCAGCGAACCGCGCCACCUGAAAAAUCAAAUAUGGAUAUACUACUAUUCCUCUCUCGGCUCGUAUCAGCUACUAGUGAUCUACAUGAUUGACUCGUUCAUCAAAACGAUAUAUACUGUACCGCACACGAUCGAACCACUGUUCAAUGUUUAUUCCUGAAUGAAGAUAAUACGUACAUAUCCAUAUAUUAUUUCAUUACAAAAUAUAUCCACACCUAUACGACGAAGAAAAGAGGAACAAAUGAUAUAUCAAGAGAACAUGAUGAAAAGUUAAAUUAUCAAAGAAAGCAUGAUUCGUAUAUAUUGUCAUUUAUUUGAAGCGUACAUUGCACUGUUGUAGGAAAGAGUAACUACAACGCUUCGAUUUUAUCGUCUUUCCUACAAUAUUUCAAGAGUAACAACAACAACAAUAACAACGAUACACUGAUUCGUAACAAAAUUAAAUCUGGAACGAUUUUGUAU